rnacentral:rRNA from 1 species
AGAACGAACGCUGGCGGCAUGCCUAACACAUGCAAGUCGAACGAGACCUUCGGGUCUAGUGGCGCACGGGUGCGUAACGCGUGGGAACCUGCCCUUAGGUUCGGAAUAACUCCUCGAAAGGGGUGCUAAUACCGGAUGAUGUCUUCGGACCAAAGAUUUAUCGCCUAUGGAUGGGCCCGCGUUGGAUUAGCUAGUUGGUGAGGUAAAGGCUCACCAAGGCGACGAUCCAUAGCUGGUCUUAGAGGAUGAUCAGCCACACUGGGACUGAGACACGGCCCAGACCUCCGUACGGGGAGGCAGCAGGUGGGGAAUUAG